rnacentral:rRNA from 1 species
CAGUCGCCGCGGUAAUACAGAGGGUGCGAGCGUUAAUCGGAAUUACUGGGCGUAAAGCGCGCGUAGGCGGCUUUUUAAGUUGGAUGUGAAAUCCCCGAGCUUAACUUAGGAAUUGCAUCCGAUACUGGCAAGCUAGAGUAUGGGAGAGGGUGGUAGAAUUUCAGGUGUAGCGGUGAUAUGCGUAGAGAUCGGAAGGAACACCGAUGGCGAAGGCAGCCACCUGGCCUGAUACUGACGCUGAGGUACGAAAGCAUGGGGAGCAAACAGGAUUAGAUACCCCCGUAGUCCCUGUCUCUUAUAC